rnacentral:rRNA from 1 species
AGUGAACGCUGGCGGUAGGCCUAACACAUGCAAGUCGAACGGCAGCACAGUAAGAGCUUGCUCUUACGGGUGGCGAGUGGCGGACGGGUGAGGAAUACAUCGGAAUCUACUUUUUCGUGGGGGAUAACGUAGGGAAACUUACGCUAAUACCGCAUCCGACCUACGGGUGAAAGCAGGGGAUCUUCGGACCUUGCGCGAUUGAAUGAGCCGAUGUCGGAUUAGCUAGUUGGCGGGGUAAGGGCCCACCAAGGCGACGAUCCGUAGCUGGUCUGAGAGGAUGAUCAGCCACACUGGAACUGAGACACGGUCCAGACUCCUACGGGAGGCAGCAGUGGGGAAUAUUGGACAAUGGGCGCAAGCCUGAUCCAGCCAUACCGCGUGGGUGAAGAAGGCCUUCGGGUUGUAAAGCCCUUUUGUUGGGAAAGAAAAGCAGCAGGUUAAUACCCCGCUGUUCUGACGGUACCCAAAGAAUAAGCACCGGCUAACUUCGUG